rnacentral:rRNA from 1 species
ACGAACGCUGGCGGCAGGCCUAACACAUGCAAGUCGAGCGAGGACUUCGGUCCUAGCGGCGGACGGGUGAGUAACGCGUGGGAACGUGCCCUUUGCUUCGGAAUAGCCCUGGGAAACUGGGAGUAAUACCGGAUGAGCCCUUUGGGGGAAAGAUUUAUCGGCGAAGGAUCGGCCCGCGUUGGAUUAGGUAGUUGGUGGGGUAAUGGCCUACCAAGCCGACGAUCCAUAGCUGGUUUGAGAGGAUGAUCAGCCACACUGGGACUGAGACACGGCCCAGACUCCUACGGGAGGCAGCAGUGGGGAAUCUUAGACAAUGGGGAAACCCUGAUCUAGCCAUGCCGCGUGAGCGAUGAAGGCCUUAGGGUUGUAAAGCUCUUUCAGCUGGGAAGAUAAUGACGGUACCAGCAGAAGAAGCCCCGGCUAACUCCGUG